GCGGGAGUAGCUCAGUUGGUAGAGCGCAACCUUGCCAAGGUUGAGGUCGCGAGUUCGAGCCUCGUCUUCCGCUCCA
rnacentral:tRNA from 2 species